GAUGAACGCUGGCGGCGUGCUUAACACAUGCAAGUCGAACGAUGAACCUGGAGCUUGCUCUGGGGGAUUAGUGGCGAACGGGUGAGUAACGCGUUGGUGAUCUGCCUUGAAGUGUGGAAUAACGUUUCGAAAGGAACGCUAAUACCGCAUGUGCUCUCGAUUUUCAGAAAGUUGAGGGUAAAGGAUUUAUUCGCUUCAAGAGGAGCCUGCGUCCCAUCAGCUGGUUGGUAGGGUAACGGCCUAACAAGGCUAUGACGGGUAGGGGACCUGAGAGGGUGGCCCCCCACAAUGGAACUGAAACACGGUCCAUACACCUACGGGUGGCAGCAGUAGGGAAUAUUAGAAAUGGACGAAAGUCUGAUCUAGCAACACCGCGUGUGCGAAGAAGGCCUUCGGGUCGUAAAGCACUUUUUGGAAGGAAUAGGAAGGAAUGUACUUCCAGAAUAAGUCUCGGCUAACUACGUGCCAGCCGCCGCUGUAACAC
rnacentral:rRNA from 1 species